rnacentral:rRNA from 1 species
AUUGAACGCUAGCGGGAUGCUUUACACAUGCAAGUCGAACAGCAGCGCGGACUUCGGUCUGGCGGCGAGUGGCGAACGGGUGAGUAAUGUAUCGGAACGUGCCCAGUAGCGGGGGAUAACUACGCGAAAGCGUAGCUAAUACCGCAUACGCCCUACGGGGGAAAGCAGGGGAUCGUAAGACCUUGCACUAUUGGAGCGGCCGAUAUCGGAUUAGCUAGUUGGUGAGGUAACGGCUCACCAAGGCGACGAUCCGUAGCUGGUUUGAGAGGACGACCAGCCACACUGGGACUGAGACACGGCCCAGACUCCUACGGGAGGCAGCAGUGGGGAAUUUUGGACAAUGGGGGCAACCCUGAUCCAGCCAUCCCGCGUGUGCGAUGAAGGCCUUCGGGUUGUAAAGCACUUUUGGCAGGAAAGAAACGUCGCGGGCUAAUACCCCGUGGAACUGACGGUACCUGCAGAAUAAGCACCGGCUAACUACGUG